UACGGAGGGUGCAAGCGUUAUCCGGAUUCACUGGGUUUAAAGGGUGCGUAGGUGGGCUAGUAAGUCCGUGGUGAAAUCUCCAAGCUUAACUUGGAAACUGCCGUGGAUACUAUUAGUCUUGAAUAUUGUGGAGGUAAGCGGAAUAUGUCAUGUAGCGGUGAAAUGCUUAGAUAUGACAUAGAACACCGAUAGCGAAGGCAGCUUGCUACACAAAUAUUGACACUGAGGCACGAAAGCGUGGGGAUCAAACAGG
rnacentral:rRNA from 1 species